AUAGAGGCCUACCAUGGUGGUAACGGGUAACGGGGUGCUAGGGCACGACACCGGAGAGGGAGCCUGAGAAACGGCUACCACAUCCAAGGAUGGCAGCAGGCGCGCAAAUUACCCAAUCCCGACACGGGGAGGUAGUGACAGUAAAUAACAAUACGGGGUUCUUUAGGAUCUCGUAAUUGGAAUGAGUACAAUUUAAAUCUCUUAACGAGGAACAAUUGGAGGGCAAGUCUGGUGCCAGCAGCCGCGGUAAUUCCAGCUCCAAUAGCGUAUAUUAAAGUUGUUGCAGUUAAAAAGCUCGUAGUUGAAUUUCGGGGUUAGUAGGUUGGUCAUGCCUCUGGUAUGUACUGGUCUCACUGAUUCCUCCUUCCUGAUGAACCUUAAUGCCAUUAAUUUGGUGUUUUGGGGAAUUUGGACUGUUACUUUGAAAAAAUUAGAGUGUUUAAAGCAAGCUAACGCUUGAAUACAUUAGCAUGGAAUAAUGAAAUAGGACGUUCGAUCCUAUUUUGUUGGUUUCUAGGAUUGACGUAAUGAUUAAUAGGGAUAGUUGGGGGCAUUAGUAUUCAAUUGUCAGAGGUGAAAUUCUUGGAUUUAUUGAAGACUAACUACUGCGAAAGCAUUUGCCAAGGAUGUUUUCAUUAAUCAAGAACGAAAGUUAGGGGAUCGAAGACGAUCAGAUACCGUCGUAGUCUUAACCAUAAACUAUGCCGACUAGGGAUCGGAUGAUGUUAAUUUUUUAAUGACUCAUUCGGCGCCUUACG
rnacentral:rRNA from 1 species